AAUCAAGCGCGAGAAGGGCGUUUGGUGGAUGCCUUGGCAGUAAGAGGCGAUGAAGGACGUGAUACUCUGCGAUAAGCCAUGAGGAGCUGAGAAUAAGCUUUGAUCCAUGGAUUUCCGAAUGGGGCAACCCACUUGAUUGUUUCCAGUUAUCGCGCAGCGAUACCCAUCUGGAUGCAAAACCAAGUACUUAAAACCUGAAUACAUAGGGUUUUAAGAGCAAACCCGGAGAACUGAAACAUCUAAGUACCCGGAGGAAAGGACAGCAACAGCGACUCCCCUAGUAGCGGCGAGCGAACGGGGACCAGCCGAGCCUUGAGAGUGACCAGAACAUGUUGGGAAGCAUGGCCAUAGCGGGUGACAGCCCCGUAUGGGAAGCUCGAUGGGACGUAUUAAGUAGGGCGGGACACGUGAAAUCCUGUCUGAAGAUCGGAGGACCACCUUCGAAGGCUAAGUACUCCUUACUGACCGAUAGCGAACCAGUACCGUGAGGGAAAGGUGAAAAGCACCCCGACGAGGGGAGUGAAACAGUACCUGAAACCGAACGCCUACAAUCAGUCGGAGCUUGACUGGACUCUAAUGACAACAGAUUGUUAUUAGUGUCCAGUCUUGUGACGGCGUACCUUUUGUAUAAUGGGUCAUCGACUUGGUCUAUCCAGCAAGCUUAAGCCGUUAGGUGUAGGCGCAGCGAAAGCGAGUCUUAAUAGGGCGUCGAGUUGGAUGGAUCAGACCCGAAACCGAGUGAUCUAGGCAUGACCAGGCUGAAGGUAAGGUAACACUUACUGGAGGGCCGAACCCACACCUGUUGAAAAAGGUCGGGAUGAGUUGUGCCUAGGGGUGAAAGGCCAAUCAAACUCGGAGAUAGCUGGUUCUCUGCGAAAUCUAUUUAGGUAGAGCGUCAUCCGAAUACCCUCGGGGGUAGAGCACUGGAUGGGUAAUGGGGCCCCACAGGCUUACUGAUCCUAACCAAACUCCGAAUACCGGGGAGUACUGGAUGGCAGACACACUGCGGAUGCUAACGUCCGUAGUGGAGAGGGAAACAACCCUGACCUACAGCUAAGGCCCCCAAUUCAUGGCUAAGUGGGAAAGCAGGUGGGACGACCAAAACAACCAGGAGGUUGGCUUAGAAGCAGCCAUCCUUUAAAGAUAGCGUAACAGCUCACUGGUCUAAACAAGUUGUCCUGCGGCGAAGAUGUAACGGGGCUCAAGCCAUGAGCCGAAGCUUAGGAGUGCGUAAGCACUGGUAGCAGAGCGUAGUGUGACACAGGAGAGUCCUUUCGAUGAAGCCGGGGCGUGAGCCAUCCGGUGGAGAGAUCACUAGUGAGAAUGAUGACAUGAGUAGCGACAAACAGGGUGAGAGACCCUGUCGCCGAAAGUCCAAGGGUUCCUGCUUAAAGCUAAUCUGAGCAGGGUAAGCCGACCCCUAAGGCGAGGCCGAAAGGCGUAGUCGAUGGGAACCAGGUUAAUAUUCCUGGGCCAGGAGGAUGUGACGGAUCGUGAAGGUUGUUCAGACUUAUCGGAUUGUCUGGGCCGCUGAUCGGUUCCUGGAAAUAGCACCUCCAUGAGAUCGUACCCUAAACCGACACAGGUGGACUGGUAGAGAAUACCAAGGCGCUUGAGAGAACGAUGUUGAAGGAACUCGGCAAAAUACCUCCGUAAGUUCGCGAGAAGGAGGCCCAGUUUCUACGCAAGUAUUGGCUGGGGGCACAAACCAGGGGGUGGCGACUGUUUACUAAAAACACAGGGCUCUGCGAAGUCGCAAGACGACGUAUAGGGUCUGACGCCUGCCCGGUGCCUGAAGGUUAAAAGGAGAGGUGAGAGCCUUGAAUUGAAGCCCAGGUAAACGGCGGCCGUAACUAUAACGGUCCUAAGGUAGCGAAAUUCCUUGUCGGGUAAGUUCCGACCUGCACGAAUGGCGUAACGACUUCCCCGCUGUCUCCAACAUCGACUCAGCGAAAUUGAAUUGCCUGUCAAGAUGCAGGCUUCCCGCGGUUAGACGGAAAGACCCCGUGCACCUUUACUACAGCUUCGCACUGGCAUCAGGAUUGUGAUGUGCAGGAUAGGUGGUAGGCUUCGAAGCAGGAACGCCAGUUUCUGUGGAGCCUCCCUUGAGAUACCACCCUUCGCACUCUUGAUGUCUAACCGCGGUCCGUUAUCCGGAUCCGGGACCCUGCGUGGCGGGUAGUUUGACUGGGGCGGUCGCCUCCUAAAGCGUAACGGAGGCGCGCGAAGGUUGGCUCAGAGCGGUCGGAAAUCGCUCGUUGAGUGCAAUGGCAGAAGCCAGCCUGACUGCAAGACUGACAAGUCGAGCAGAGUCGAAAGACGGCCAUAGUGAUCCGGUGGUCCCGAGUGGAAGGGCCAUCGCUCAACGGAUAAAAGGUACGCCGGGGAUAACAGGCUGAUACUGCCCAAGAGUCCAUAUCGACGGCAGUGUUUGGCACCUCGAUGUCGGCUCAUCUCAUCCUGGGGCUGGAGCAGGUCCCAAGGGUACGGCUGUUCGCCGUUUAAAGAGGUACGUGAGCUGGGUUUAGAACGUCGUGAGACAGUUCGGUCCCUAUCUGCCGUGGGUGUAGGAUACUUGAGAGGAGUUGCCCCUAGUACGAGAGGACCGGGGUGAACGAUCCACUGGUGGACCUGUUGUCGUGCCAACGGCAGUGCAGGGUAGCUAUGAUCGGACAGGAUAACCGCUGAAGGCAUCUAAGCGGGAAGCCCCCCUCAAAACAAGGUAUCCCUGAGGGCCGUGGUAGACCACCACGUCGAUAGGCCGGAGAUGUAAGCGCAGCAAUGCGUUCAGUUGACCGGUACUAAUUGCCCGACAGGCUUGAUUUG
rnacentral:rRNA from 1 species